UCCCAAAUGGUCUAGUGGCUAGGAUACCGCCCUCUCACGGCGGUGGCCGGGGUUCGAUUCCCCGUUUGGGAA
rfam:Ramazzottius varieornatus DNA, contig: Scaffold001, strain: YOKOZTNA-1.